rnacentral:lncRNA from 1 species
AACGAAGCAUUAAAUCUAAUCAAGCCUUACAAGCAUGAUCAAAACGGAAAACAAUCUAACACUCUAAUGCCAAUUGUGGAACUAGAGGAUAGUGAAAACUUACAAACUAAAUAACCAAAAUAUCUAGUAACUGAAAUCAAAUCAUGUUGCUUGUUUUACUAGCCUUCUAUGAUCGUCCCUAUUUGAUGCUUUUGGAUCUUCCACGCAUCUCGUCUCUCGCACACGUUGCGAAUCGAUCAUACGUUGCG